rnacentral:rRNA from 1 species
AGCGAACGCUGGCGGCAGGCUUAACACAUGCAAGUCGAGCGGGCAUCCUUGUGGUGUCAGCGGCAGACGGGUGAGUAACGCGUGGGAACGUGCCCUUCGGUUCGGAAUAACUCAGGGAAACUUGAGCUAAUACCGGAUACGUGCGAGAGCAGAAAGGUUUAUCUGCCGAAGGAUCGGCCCGCGUCUGAUUAGCUAGUUGGUGAGGUUACGGCUCACCAAGGCGACGAUCAGUAGCUGGUCUGAGAGGAGGAUCAGCCACACUGGGACUGGGACACGGCCCAGACUCCUGCGGGAGGCAGCAGGGGGGAAUAUUGGACAAUGGGGGCGAGCAUGAUCCCGCCAGGCCGCGUGAGUGAUGACGGCGUUAGGGUUGUAAAGCUCUUUUCUCCGGGACGAUAAGGACGGGACCGGAGGAAGAAGCCCCGGCUAACUUCGU